CUGGGAUGUUACUGUGGAAAGAAGGCCCUCUCCCUGGAGGCUCUGUGAUCAGAACCCAGGCUUUUUCUCCAGUCACUUCCAGGGUCAGUUUGAUAGUGACAAUCUGAAAGAACCGGCCGUGGGUGGAUCAACUCCAAGUCUGACACAGGCAAUGGCUUCCUGCUGCUCACAGAGAAACGUCCCUAUGAGAUGACAUCAGGGAAGCCCUGAACGUUGUUGGGUAACAGAUUGAGAGCAAGGGUCAGAGGAAGACAGAG
rnacentral:lncRNA from 1 species